rnacentral:rRNA from 1 species
CCUACGGGUGGCAGCAGUGAGGAAUAUUGGGCAAUGGACGCAAGGCUGAACCAGCCAUGCCGCGUGCAGGAAGACGGCACUAUGAGUUGUAAACUGCGUGUGUAAGAGGGUAAACGCAGAGACGCGGAUCUGUCUGAAAGUAACGUACGAAUAAGGAUCGGCGAACUCCGUGCCAGCAGCCGCGGUAAUACGGAGGAUUCAAGCGUUAUCCGGAUUGAUUGGGUGUAAAGGGUGCGUAGGCGGUCGGAUAAGUUAGAGGUGAAAUCCCGAGGCUCAACUUCGGAAUUGCCUCUGAUACUGUUCGUCUAGUGCGUAGUUGCGGUAGGCGGACUGUCUGUUGUAGCGG